UGGCGUGGCCAUGGAGGACAAUGCUACCACUAACCCCUUGCAGCUCCUGCCUCUAGAGCUUGUGGACAAGUGUAUAGGAUCACGAAUUCACAUUGUAAUGAAAAGUGAUAAAGAAAUUGUCAGCACACUUCUAGGAUUUGAUGUCUUUGUCAAUAUGGUGUUGGAAGAUGUCACAGAGUUUGAAAUUACACCAGAAGGAAGAAGGGCUACUAAAUUAGAUCAGAUUUUGCUAAAUGGAAAUAAUAUUAACAAUGCUGGUUCCUGGAGGAGAAGGGCCUGAAGUAUGAAUGGAUUUCCUUGAUUCUGUUUCUUUUACCUUUAAUGUUUAGAUUCAGUAAUGCUAAGUUUCCUGUUAAAGGGAAAUACUUUGAAGAUGUACACCCAUUUUUCUAAA